AUUGAACGCUGGCGGCAUGCUUUACACAUGCAAGUCGAACGGAAACAGGCCGCAAGGGGCUGACGAGCGGCAGACGGGGGAGUAAGGCAUACGAACGUGCACCGUCGUUGGGAGUAACUAAUAAAAAGAGUAGAUAAGACCGCAUACGGGAUAAGGAAGAGAACGGGAGAGCGCAAUGGCGCGAGCGGGUGGAGCGGCCGCUGACAGAUUAGCUAGUGCGGGGGGUAACGGCUCACCAAGCCAACGAUCUGUAGCGGGUCUGAGAGGAUGAGCAGCCACACUGGGACUGAGACACGGUCCAGACUCCUACGGGAGGCAGCAGUGGGGAAUUUUCGACAAUGGGCGCAAGCCUGAUCCAGCAAUGCCGCGUGCAGGAAGAAGGCCUUCGGGUUGUAAACUGCUUUUAUACGGAACGAACCGGCUCUGGUUAAUCCCCGGGCGUAAUGACGGUACCGUAAGAAUAAGCACCGGCUAACUACGUG
rnacentral:rRNA from 1 species